rnacentral:rRNA from 1 species
CCUACGGGAGGCAGCAGUGAGGAAUAUUGGUCAAUGGUCGGGAGACUGAACCAGCCAAGCCGCGUGAGGGAUGAAGGUACAGAGUAUCGUAAACCUCUUUUGUCAGGGAACAAAGGCGGGGACGUGUCCCCGGAUGAGUGUACCUGAAGAAAAAGCAUCGGCUAACACCGUGCCAGCAGCCGCGGUAAUACGGGGGAUGCGAGCGUAAUCCGGAUUGAUUGGGUUUAAGGGGUGCACAGGCGGUCUGUUAAGUCAGCGGUCAAAGCCCGGGGCUCAACCCCGGCCCGCCGUUGAAACUGGCAGUCUCGAGUUGGAGAGAAGUAUGCGGAAUGCGCGGUGUAGCGGUGAAAUGCAUAGAUAUCGCGCAGAACUCCGAUUGCGAAGGCAGCAUGCCGGCUCCACACUGACGCUGAGGCACGAAAGCGUGGGUAUCGAACAGGAUUAGAUACCCGAGUAGUC